AGACGAACCGUACGAACGUUAUUCGGAAUUACUGGGCUUAAAGGGUGCGUAGGCUGCACGGAAAGUUGGGUGUGAAAGCCCUCAGCUCAACUGAGGAAUUGCAUCCAAAACUGCCGUGCUUGAGGGAGACAGAGGUGAGCGGAACUCAAGGUGGAGCGGUGAAAUGCGUUGAUAUCUUGAGGAACACCGGUGGCGAAAGCGGCUCACUGGGUCUCUUCUGACGCUGAGGCACGAAAGCUAAGGUAGCAAACGGGAUUAGAAACCCCAGUAGUCC
rnacentral:rRNA from 1 species